AGGGAAACCGAGUCUUAACUGGGCGUUAAGUUGCAGGGUAUAGACCCGAAACCCGGUGAUCUAGCCAUGGGCAGGUUGAAGGUUGGGUAACACUAACUGGAGGACCGAACCGACUAAUGUUGAAAAAUUAGCGGAUGACUUGUGGCUGGGGGUGAAAGGCCAAUCAAACCGGGAGAUAGCUGGUUCUCCCCGAAAGCUAUUUAGGUAGCGCCUCGUGAACUCAUCUUCGGGGGUAGAGCACUGUUUCGGCUAGGGGGUCAUCCCGACUUACCAACCCGAUGCAAACUGCGAAUACCGAAGAAUGUUAUCACGGGAGACACACGGCGGGUGCUAACGUCCGUCGUGAAGAGGGAAACAACCCAGACCGCCAGCUAAGGUCCCAAAGUCACAGUUAAGUGGGAAACGAUGUGGGAAGGCUCAGACAGCCAGGAUGUUGGCUUAGAAGCAGCCAUCAUUUAAAGAAAGCGUAAUAGCUCACUGGUCGAGUCGGCCUGCGCGGAAGAUGUAACGGGGCUAAACUGUGCACCGAAGCUGCGGCAGCGACGCUUAUGCGUUGUUGGGUAGGGGAGCGUUCUGUAAGCCUGCGAAGGUGUCCUGUGAGGGAUGCUGGAGGUAUCAGAAGUGCGAAUGCUGACAUAAGUAACGAUAAUGCGGGUGAAAAGCCCGCUCGCCGGAAGACCAAGGGUUCCUGUCCAACGUUAAUCGGGGCAGGGUGAGUCGACCCCUAAGGCGAGGCCGAAAGGCGUAGUCGAUGGGAAACGGGUUAAUAUUCCCGUACUUGGUGUUACUGCGAAGGGGGGACGGAGAAGGCUAUGUUGGCCGGGCGACGGUUGUCCCGGUUUAAGCGUGUAGGCUGGUUUUCCAGGCAAAUCCGGAAAAU
rnacentral:rRNA from 1 species